rnacentral:misc_RNA from 1 species
CAAAAAGUUGAACUAAAUGGUACCCAAACUGAUCACUGUUAGUCAUCCUACUCCUUCUUCUAGAAUAGAUUAAAUCACAGAGUUGCACUGCCAUUAUCACGAACACAAACUUUCACUUUGAGUUUAUUCCCAUGUCAACUCAAUUGCUCACAAAACAACUAUUUCAAGCCCAACAAUUAAGUAAAAGAGAUAGAAAGAGAUCAGUGCAGAUAAG